GCUAUACAUGCAAGUCGAGCGAGGAAUCCUGGGGUAGCUGUCUCAGGUGUGAGGCUGACGGUGAGUAACAUGUGGUGUAACCAGCCGGUAAGACGGGAAUGACUUCGGGAAACCGAACUAUACCGGAUGAUAAAGAGAAACGCCCGUUUCUUUUUUGAAAGUCGGCCUUGUGCUGACGCUUACAGAUGGGCCCGCGGCGCAGUAGCUAGUUGGUGAGGUAACGGCUCACCAAGGCGACCAUUCGUAGCCGACCUGAGAGGGUGAUCGGCCACACUGGGACUGAGACACGGCCCAGACUCCUACGGGAGGCAGCAGUAGGGAAUCUUCGGCAAUGGACGAAAGUCUGACCGAGCAACGCCGCGUGAGCGAUGAAGGCCUUCGGGUCGUAAAGCUCUUUUGUCAGAGAAGAACAAGUACCGGAGUAACUGCCGGUACCUUGACGGUACCUGACCAGAAACCCACGGCUAACUACCUGCCCGCAGCCGCGGUAAUACGUAGGUGGCAAGCGUUCUCCCGGAUUAUUGGGCGUAAAGCGUGCGCAGGCGGUUCUUUAAGUCAGAUCCCCAAAGCCCAAGGGUUAACCCUGGAAGGGUAUUGGAAACGGGGGGAAUUUGACUGGUUGGAGACCAAAAGUGUAUUUCCCCCUGUUACCGUUUAAAGGCCAAGAUCGGGAGGAACACGGGUGGCGAGGGCGGCUUUUUGGCCUAACACUGACGCUGAGGCGCGACAGUGUGGGGAGCAAACAGGAUUAGACACCCUGGUCGUCCACCCUGUAAACGAUGACUAUUGGGUGUUGGGGGCUACCACCCUCAGUGCCGAGGUUAACACAUUAAACACUCCGCCUGGGGAGUACGGCCCCAAGGUUUAAAAUCAAAGGAAUUGAAGGGGGCCCGCACCAGCAGUGGGGCCUGUGGUUUAAUUUGGAGCAAAGCGAAAAACCUUACCAGGUUUUGACAUUCUAUAAAACUUUCAAAAAUAGGAUUUUUCCCUUCGGGGGAUAGAGUGACGGGUGGUGCAUGGUGGUGUUCACCUCGGGUCUUGAGUUGUGGGGUUAAGUCCCGCAACGAGCGCACCCCUUUCCUUUAGUUGCCAGCGUUCAGUUGGGCACUCUAAGGAGACUGCCGGUGACAAACCGGAGGAAGGUGGGGAUGACGUCAAAUCAUCAUGCCCCUUAUGACUUGGGCUACACACGUGCUACAAUGGGUGGUACAAAGGGUAGCGACCUCGCGAGAGCGAGCCAAUCCCAUAAAGCCACUCUCAGUCCGGAUGUAGGCUGCAACUCGCCUCCGUGAAGCGGGAAUUGCUCGUGAUCGGGAUAAGCAUGUCUACCUGAACAUCCGAUCG
rnacentral:rRNA from 1 species